rnacentral:rRNA from 1 species
GGAGCAAGACAUAAGGGCGUAUGGUGGAUGCCUUGGGAUGUUGGGGCGAUGAAGGUCGUGGCGUGACUGCGAUAAGCCUCGGGGAGCUGUCUAGCGAGCUUUGAUCCGGGGAUGACCGAAUGAGGAAACUCGGCGCUGAAAACCAGCGUCAAGCGCUGCUUUUCAGCUAAGUUAAAAGUUUAAAAUUAAAAGUUAAAAAUUAUGGUGUCGCUUCGCGACGAUUUAUAUAAAAUAAAUCCCGCGUAGCGGGAUACUAAAACUUUUCACUUUUCACUUUUCAUUUUUAAUUUAGCUGCGAAGCAGCGUUGGCACACCCGCUGAAGUAAAACAUUUCAGUAAGCGGAGGAAAAGAAAAAAAUGCGGAGCAUUUUUUUCUGACAUAUCGAUAUUUCGAAAUUUCGAUAUUUCAGGGAAAUUUGCUUCGCAAAUUCCCCCAGUAGCGGCGAGCGAAAAGGGAACAGCCUAAAUCAGUCAGUGCUUCGCACUGACACGCGAAAAAACGCAAGGCGGCCGCGUUAGCGGCCGACCGCCAAAAAAACGCAAAAAUUUUUGCGUAAAAUUGGCGAUUAUGCCUUGGCGUAAAUUGGCGUGCCAAUGCGGAGUAUUGGCUGACGUUGCAAGGUGAUGAUGUUUGAUUUAUCAAGAGGAGUCAAAAAAUGGAAACUUCGUUAGCAGAAGUCCCGUGGAAACGGGACGCCAAAGAGGGUAAUAGCCCCGUAUGCGAAAACGGUUUUCAUACUUCUUAUCAUCAUUCUUAAGUACGACGGGGAACGAAAGCCCCGUCGGAAUCCGGCAGGACUAUAAAGUCAGUGUUUCACACUGACCGCUAAUUGACGCAAGAAAAUGCACGCAAAAAAACGCAAAAAUUUGCGUAAAUUUGCGAGUAUUUCAAUUUGCGUAAAAUUGGCGUCAAUGCGAAGCAUUGACUGCUGCCAAGGCUAAAUACUCAACAUCACCGAUAGUGAACAAGUACCGUGAGGGAAAGGUGAAAAGCAGCCCGUUGAGGGCGGUGAAAUAGACCUGAAACCAUAUGCUUACAAAGAAUCGGAGCCAUUGCGGAGCAAUGGAAGCGCCAAGAAACAAGAAACAAUAACCAAACAAAAAUCAAUAACUAAAAUUCAAAGAUACAAAACAGUUUUCGAUUUUUUGUGAAUUGGAAUUUGAGAUUUGUUUGGGAUUUGUCUCUUGAAAUUUGGAAUUUCCACUGCUUCGCAGUGGUAACGGUGUGCUUUUUGCAGAACGAUCCAACGAGUUUAUUUAUAUUGCUCAUCUAAGUCCUUCGGGACGGAGAUACAGGGAAACCGAGUGUUAAUAGCGCGAUUUACCACUGAUAAACGUUGACCGGAUUUUUCCGGUCCGCGUUUAUCUGUGGUUUAGUAGUAUAAAUAAGACCCGAAGCCAGAGCGAGCUUACCUUGGUCAGGAUGAACUUUGGGUAAUACCAGAGGGAGGUCCGAACGCACGAGCUGUGCAAAACUUGGCGAUGAACUGAGGUAAGAAGUGAAAAGCUAAUCGAGCCUGGUAAUAGCUGGUUCUCCCCGAAAUAGCUUUAGGGCUAGCCGUAAGAGUAAUUAACGGAGGUAGAGCACUGAAUGGAUGCGGAUGGCUUUGCCUACCGCGUCUAAUCAAACUCCGAAUGCCGUUAUGGGAGGUCAUCUUUGAGUUCUUUUUCGUCACGAAAUGCAGCAAUUUUGAGCGAAAAUUUUGAAAGGCGAGGAAGUCGUAUAAAGAAAUUUAUACGAUGACGAGCCUUGAAAAAUUUGCAGCCAAAAUUGCCAGUUGCAGUAGAAAAGAGAAUUCAAAGAUGACCUCUAAAUCUUACGAGUCAGACUGUGGGGGCUAAGCUCCAUGGUCAAAAAGGAAACAGCCUAGAUCAUCAUCU